GGAUUCCCCUAGUAACUGCGAGUGAAGCGGGAAAAGCUCAAAUUUAAAAUCUGGUGGUCUUUGGCCAUCCGAGUUGUAAUCUAGAGAAGUGUUAUCCGCGCUGGACCGUGUACAAGUCCCCUGGAAUGGGGCGUCAUAGAGGGUGAGAAUCCCGUCUUUGACACGGACUACCAGGGCUUUGUGAUGCACUCUCAAAGAGUCGAGUUGUUUGGGAAUGCAGCUCAAAAUGGGUGGUAAAUUCCAUCUAAAGCUAAAUAUUGGCGAGAGACCGAUAGCGAACAAGUACCGUGAGGGAAAGAUGAAAAGAACUUUGGAAAGAGAGUUAAACAGUACGUGAAAUUGUUGAAAGGGAAACGCUUGAAGUCAGUCGCGUCUGCCAGGGAUCAACCUUACUUUUGUGAGGCGUACUUCCUGGUUGAUGGGUCAGCAUCAGUUUUGGUCGCUGGAUAAAGGUCAGAGAAAUGUGGCACCUUCGGGUGUGUUAUAGUCUUUGAUCAGAUACAGUGGCUGGGACUGAGGAACUCAGCGCCGCAAGGCUGUCUUAGGAUGCUGGCAAAAUGGCUUUAAUCGACCCGUCUUGAAACACGGACCAAGGAGUCUAACAUGCCUGCGAGUGUUUGGGUGGAAAACCCGAGCGCGUAAUGAAAGUGAAAGUUGGGAUCCCUGUCAUGGGGAGCACCGACGCCCAUACCAGAAGUUUACGGACGGAUAUGCGGUAGAGCAUGUAUGUUGGGACCCGAAAGAUGGUGAACUAUGCCUGAAUAGGGCGAAGCCAGAGGAAACUCUGGUGGAGGCUCGUAGCGAUUCUGACGUGCAAAUCGAUCGUCGAAUUUGGGUAUAGGGCGAAAGACUAAUCGA
rnacentral:rRNA from 1 species